GACGAACGCUGGCGGCGUGCCUAAUACAUGCAAGUAGAACGCUAAAGGAGGAUCUUUCUUCUCUUCAUUAUUUGCGAACACGUGAGUAACGCGUAUGUAACCUGCCUCGUAGCGGGGGAUAACUAUUGGAAACGAUAGCUAAUACCGCAUAAUAUUGACUAUUGCAUGAUAUUCAGUUGAAAGAUGCAACUCCACCACUACCAGAUGGACCUGCGUUGUAUUAGCUAGUUGGUGGGGGAACGGCUCACCAAGGCGACGAGACAUAGCCAAACUGAGAGGGUGAUUGGCCAAACUGGGAACGAGAAAAGGGCCAGAAUUCUAAGGGAGGGCGACGUAGGGAAAUUUUGGGAAUGGAAGGAAGUCUGAACGAGGAAAGGCGCGUGAGUGAAGGAGGGUUUUGGAUUGUAAAGAUUCGUUGUAAGAGAAGAAAGAGGGUCAGAGUGGACAGCUAACACUGUGACGGUAUCUAACCAGAAAGGGACGGCUAACUACGUG
rnacentral:rRNA from 1 species